CAGGAUCGGAAGACAAGCUGCUCCCCGAGAAAGAAGAGAGGCCAGAGGAGUGGGAGCUUCUCAAGGCACCAUGGGAAAAUGACUAACAGCUUAUUCGAGAAUCUGAAAAUCUAUUCUUUCUCUUUUAAGUCUUGCAAAAUGAAUGACGCUGAAAAAACCUGAGAGACCAUCAAGCGUGGUUUGACGAUCGGUGCUAGGUCCGCGCCCAGGAUCCGAACCUGAGAACCCCAGGCUGCUGGAGUGGAGCAUGCAAACUUAACCACUGUGCCGCCUGGCCAGCCCCUGACACUCUCUUGAAAAGACAGGAAUUAGAGCCAUCCCCUCCAUACCACCUACUUCCCCUCCCUCAGAACCCGCCACUUCUUCCCCUGGACUUCUCACCUGGCCACCCCAUCCCACCCCUGGGUUUAAUGAAUACAGAAGUUCUAAACCAUCCCUCUUUCACACUGUAUCUGUUCAAAGCUUGGAACAAUGAAAAAAAUGAAAAUGCCCAAAGUCACGGGCAGCGUCUCCUGGGAGUGAUGGGCUGGCAGCUGAGCCUCUCGUUCUGAUUUCCUCGGCCUUUUCCCCUAAGGGUUAGCAGCACACAUUCUUCCCACUGCGGACACGUUAGAUGAAGAACAAGAACCAGGACCGAGUUUUUCCUCCACUGGAGCUGGGAAUCUGAGGGAGCCCAUGCUUCCCCAGGUGACCCAUCCUUCAUGACUCCUAACUCCUCCCUAGUCUAGAGUCCCUCAGAUGGGACCAUCUCUCCCUUUUUUGUUCACACCUCCACCUUCUCCUGUGUAUGAUUCUUUUGCUAGAAUGUAAGCUCCUUGAAAGGUCCUAAAGGUUUAUGUAUGUAUCACCAC
rnacentral:lncRNA from 1 species